rnacentral:rRNA from 1 species
AUUGAACGCUGGCGGCAGGCCUAACACAUGCAAGUCGAGCGGAGCGGCGGACGGGUGAGUAAUGCCUAGGAAUCUGCCUGGUAGUGGGGGAUAACGUCCGGAAACGGGCGCUAAUACCGCAUACUAUCAGAUGAGCCUAGGUCGGAUUAGCUAGUUGGUGAGGUAACGGCUCACCAAGCCUUCGAUGGAUAGGGGUUCUGAGAGGAAGGUGCGCCACAUUGGAACUGAGACACGGUCAAGACUCCUACGGGAGGCAGCAGUGGGGAAUAUUGCACAAUGGGCGCAAGCCUGAUGCAGCCAUGCCGCGUGUGUGAAGAAGGCCUUCGGGUUGUAAAGCACUUUCAGCGGGGAGGCGUUACCCGAAGAAGAAGCACCGGCUAACUCCGUGCCAGCAGCCGCGGUAAUAC